UACGUAGGGCGCAAGCGUUGUCCGGAAUUAUUGGGCGUAAAGAGCUCGUAGGCGGUCUGUCGCGUCUGCUGUGAAAACUCGGGGCUUAACUCCGGGCCUGCAGUGGGUACGGGCAGACUAGAGUGCGGUAGGGGAGACUGGAAUUCCUGGUGUAGCGGUGAAAUGCGCAGAUAUCAGGAGGAACACCGGUGGCGAAGGCGGGUCUCUGGGCCGUAACUGACGCUGAGGAGCGAAAGCGUGGGGAGCGAACAGG
rnacentral:rRNA from 1 species